rnacentral:rRNA from 1 species
AGCGAACGCUGGCGGCAUGCCUAACACAUGCAAGUCGAACGAACCUUUCGGGGUUUGUGGCCGACGGGUGAGUAACACGUGGGAACGUGCCCUUAUGGUCGGCAUAACUCUGGGAAACUUGUGCUAAUACCGAAUGUGCCCUUCGGGGGAAAGAUUAAUCGCCUUUAGAGCGGCCCGCGUCUGAUUAGCUAGUUGUGUGAGGUAAUGGCUCACCAAGGCGACGAUCAGUAGCUGGUCUGAGAGAAUGAUCAGCGACAUUGGGACUGAGACACGGCACAAACUCCUACGGGAGGCAGGAGUGGGGAAUCUUGCGCAAUGGGCGAAAGGCUGACGCAGCCAUGCCGCGUGAAUGAUGAAGGUCUGAGGAUUGUAAAAUUCUUUCACCGGGGACGAUAAUGACGGUACCCGGAGAAGAAGCCCCGGCUAACUUCGUG